rnacentral:rRNA from 1 species
CCUACGGGAGGCAGCAGUAGGGAAUUUUCGUCAAUGGGCGCAAGCCUGAACGAGCAAUGCCGCGUGAACGAGGAAGAUCUUCGGAUCGUAAAGUUCUAUUGAAAGGGAAAAAGAACGGAGAGAGUAAAUGCUUUCUGAUUGAUAUUACCCUUCGAGGAAGUCACGGCUAACUCCGUCCCAGCAGCCGCGGUAAUACGUCGGUGCCGAGCGUGAUCCGAAAUGAUUGGGCGUAAGGGGUGCGUAGGGGGCAUGCUAAGUCGGGCGUGAAAGGUACCGGAGCAACCGGGACAGGCUCUGGAAACUGGCGGGCUAGAGAGCAGGAGAGGGCGGUGGAACUCCAUGUGUAGCGGUAAAAUGCGUAGAUAUAUGGAAGAACACCAGUGGCGAAGGCGGCCGCCUGGACUGUUACUGACGCUGAGGCACGAAAGCGUGGGGAGCAAAUAGGAUUAGAUACCCGUGUAGUC